rnacentral:rRNA from 1 species
GUCUAUGGCCAUACCACCCUGAGCCACCUGAUCUCGUCUGAUCUCGGAAGCUAAGCAGGGUCAGGCCUGGUUAGUACUUGGGUGGGAGGAGGCUGAGGCACCUGGUCACACUGCAGCCACAGUCU